rnacentral:rRNA from 1 species
UACGUAGGGUGCGAGCGUUAAUCGGAAUUACUGGGCGUAAAGCGUGCGCAGGCGGUUUUGCAAGCCGGAUGUGAAAUCCCCGGGCUCAACCUGGGAAUGGCAUUUGGGACUGCAAGGCUCGAGUGCGGCAGAGGGGACUGGAAUUCCUGGUGUAGCAGUGAAAUGCGUAGAUAUCGAGGAGGAAUACCGAUGGCGAAGGCAGGUCUCUGGGCUGACACUGACGCUCAUGCACGAAAGCGUGGGGAGCAAACAGG